rnacentral:lncRNA from 1 species
AAAAUUGUUAAAUUCUUCGGGGGGGGGGGAUGUGGGAUAGAGGGCGAACUUCCUGGGUUUGGAUUAGACAAUGGCUUGAUGAAUAGAAUCCCAAAAGUCCGGGCAACACAGGAAACACUAGAAGGUGGACCUGAUCGCUAUUUAAAUGGAUGGAUCAGGAACUCUAGCAGGAGCGUGACGAGGCAGUCCACACGAUGGGGAAGGUAUUUGGAAGUCAGGUGUAGAGGGGUGCUAGGUGUGAUGGUACAAGGUGCCAGUUACGGGGAGGCUGAGGCAGGAGGAUUUUUGUUGCUGUUUGUUUUGAUUUUGGAUAUAGGGUUUCUCUGUGUAGCCCUGGCUGUCCUGGGACUGGCUCUGUAGACCGGGCUGGCCUCGAACUCAGAGAUUUCCCUUCCUCCCCCGUGCUUCUGGGAGCUGGGAUUAAGGAGUGUUCCACACCGCCGCCCAGAUGAGGCAGAAGGAGUUCCAGGCCAGCUAGGACCAAUGAAUGCUGGAGCUCGGCAAUUGAGAGGCAGCGUUGGCAGAGUAAGCAUCUUCUUGCUUGCGGUGGUCCAGAUGGGUGUCCAGAAGCCAAGAAGCAAGCAUCCCUACACAGGAGAGAGAGAUUAAUCACGCCUGGAGUCUGUUCCUUCCGGGAAGUGGGCUCCAUGAUUGAUAGAGAUAAGGGAUGGGGGGCAGAAAGUCCCAACCAGCACCCCAGAUCUCCACCGGAAGCCGUAGAACACUACAGCUACUAGUGAUGGUUUGUAUAUGCUCGGCCCAGGGAGAGGCACUAUUUGGAAGUGUGGCCCUGUUGGAGUAGGUGUGUCACUGUGGGUGUGAGCUUUAAGACCCUCAUCCUACCUGCAUGAAAGCCAGUAUUCUGCUAGCAGCCUUCAGAUGAAGAUGUAGAAUUGUCAGUUCCUCCUGCACCAUGCCUGCCUGGAUGCUGCCAUGUCCCUGC